rnacentral:rRNA from 1 species
GACGAACGCUGGCGGCGUGCCUAAUACAUGCAAGUUGAGCGCUGAAGGUUGGUACUUGUACCGACUGGAUGAGCAGCGAACGGGUGAGUAACGCGUGGGGAAUCUGCCUUUGAGCGGGGGACAACAUUUGGAAACGAAUGCUAAUACCGCAUAAAAACUUUAAACACAAGUUUUAAGUUUGAAAGAUGCAAUUGCAUCACUCAAAGAUGAUCCCGCGUUGUAUUAGCUAGUUGGUGAGGUAAAGGCUCACCAAGGCGAUGAUACAUAGCCGACCUGAGAGGGUGAUCGGCCACAUUGGGACUGAGACACGGCCCAAACUCCUACGGGAGGCAGCAGUAGGGAAUCUUCGGCAAUGGACGAAAGUCUGACCGAGCAACGCCGCGUGAGUGAAGAAGGGUUUCGGAUCGUAAAGCUCUGUUGGUAGAGAAGAACGUUGGUGAGAGUGGAAAGCUCAUCAAGUGACGGUAACUACCCAGAAAGGGACGGCUAACUACGUG